CUGGUGGUCAACAUGUAGAAGAAUGCAAA
rnacentral:piRNA from 1 species